rnacentral:tRNA from 1 species
GGACGCGUAGCUCAGCUGGUUAGAGCGCCUGCUUCACACGCAGGAGGUCCACGGUUCAAGUCCGUGCGUGUCCACCA